UGCACUGAUUUCAACAAUGAAGCGAGUGGCGAACUGGUGAGUAACACGUGGGAAAUCUGCCCAGAAGCAGGGGAUAACACUUGGAAACAGGUGCUAAUACCGUAUAACAACAAAAUCCGCAUGGAUUUUGUUUGAAAGGUGGCUUCGGCUAUCACUUCUGGAUGAUCCCGCGGCGUAUUAGUUAGUUGGUGAGGUAAAGGCCCACCAAGACGAUGAUACGUAGCCGACCUGAGAGGGUAAUCGGCCACAUUGGGACUGAGACACGGCCCAAACUCCUACGGGAGGCAGCAGUAGGGAAUCUUCCACAAUGGACGAAAGUCUGAUGGAGCAAUGCCGCGUGAGUGAAGAAGGGUUUCGGCUCGUAAAACUCUGUUGUUAAAGAAGAACACCUUUGAGAGUAACUGUUCAAGGGUUGACGGUAUUUAACCAGAAAGCCACGGCUAACUACGUGCCAGCAGCCGCGGUAAUACGUAGGUGGCAAGCGUUGUCCGGAUUUAUUGGGCGUAAAGCGAGCGCAGGCGGUUUUUUAAGUCUGAUGUGAAAGCCUUCGGCUUAACCGGAGAAGUGCAUCGGAAACUGGGAGACUUGAGUGCAGAAGAGGACAGUGGACUCCAUGUGUAGCGGUGGAAUGCGUAGAUAUAUGGAAGAACACCAGUGGCGAAGGCGGCUGUCUAGUCUGUAACUGACGCUGAGGCUCGAAAGCAUGGGUAGCGAACAGGAUUAGAUACCCUGGUAGUCCAUGCCGUAAACGAUGAGUGCUAAGUGUUGGAGGGUUUCCGCCCUUCAGUGCUGCAGCUAACGCAUUAAGCACUCCGCCUGGGGAGUACGACCGCAAGGUUGAAACUCAAAGGAAUUGACGGGGGCCCGCACAAGCGGUGGAGCAUGUGGUUUAAUUCGAAGCUACGCGAAGAACC
rnacentral:rRNA from 2 species